UACGUAGGGGGCAAGCGUUGUCCGGAAUCAUUGGGCGUAAAGAGCGUGUAGGCGGCCAGAUAAGUCCGCUGUGAAAUCUCGAGGCUCAACUUCGAGCUGUCGGUGGAAACUGUCUGGCUAGAGUCCGGAAGAGGAGAAUGGAAUUCCUGGUGUAGCGGUGAAAUGCGCAGAUAUCAGGAAGAACACCCGUGGCGAAGGCGGCUUUCUGGACAGUAACUGACGCUGAGGCGCGAAAGCUAGGGGAGCAAACAGG
rnacentral:rRNA from 1 species